GUUGUACUUGGGCCACAUUUGGGAAGAUGUUGUUUCAUAAGUCGCUUUGCCAGAUCACCUGUGGUCGGGAUGUCUGCUAACAAGAUGCCUUGCUGGUCUGAGCGAGUUUAAAGUCUUACACAGACAGUCCAGAAGUUCUGAAGUCCAUCUUCGAUUUCAUUGAUGCUGUCAUCGUAUUAAGUACAGCAUGAGCCAGAAUAGAUGGGUGGUGGUGGCCAUAAGAAGACUGUCAACUAAACCAACAACAAAUUUCAUAUUUGCAGUUUUUCUUGAAUAAAGUUUUUCUAUUCAGAUUAAUAAAAUGACUUUUAAACAUGAUUUUGUUUCAUAUUUUAUGAUUUUAUUCUAUAUUUAGAAAAUUCCACUUCUGCACUACUAACUGGAAACCUAACUGUUUG